UUAAGUUCAGCGGGUAGUCCUACCUGAUUUGAGGCCAAAUUUCAAAGUUAGCUUGACCGCCACUCGAACGGCAGGUCGUGGAAGGGCACAGAAGGGGAACAUCUCAUUAGAGCGAGGAUGGUACGACGCCCAAUCGAGUCCGACCCACAGGCCCAACCGAGGCAUUUGAGGGGAGCCGCGUUUCGGCAGCAAGCCCCCAG
rnacentral:misc_RNA from 1 species